GACCUGUCAUUAGAUAUAAAUCUGCUCUGCUGUUUAAUUUGGCGGCCAUUGCUGUUCCUACAGUAGAUGAUACUCAUCUUUCCAAGGCUUCUAAAACUUAGCCUGCCAGCACCCCUGAGGCCAAGCCUGCCAGCACCCCUGAGGCCAAGCCUGC